rnacentral:rRNA from 1 species
GACGAACGCUGGCGGCGUGCUUAACACAUGCAAGUCGAACGGUAAGGGCCUGCUUUUGUGGGGUGCUCAAGUGCCGCGCGCGUGAGUGUCACGUGUGUAACCUCCCCCUGACUUUGGGGUACCUCCUUGAAACUCGGGCUCUUACCGCACAUGAGCUCCUUCUGCACGGUGGGGAUUUGAAAAUUUCGGCGUUUCGGCAUGGACUCGUGGCCUAUCGUCUUGUUGGUGAGGUAGUGGCUUACCAGGGCUUGGACGGGUAGCCGGCCUGCGAGGGUGACCGGCCACAUUGGGACAGGGGUACGGCCCAGACGGAUACGGGAGGAAGCAGUGAGGAUCAGAGCACAAUGGGCGGAAGCAGGAAGCAGCAACGCCGGGUGCGGGAUGACGGCCUUCGGGCUGUAAACCGCGUUCGACUGGGACGAAGAGUGAGUGACGGUAAUUGGUAAAGAAGCACCGGCUAACUACGUG